UAGGGAAAACCUUUGCAAGUUGGGACUAG
rnacentral:piRNA from 1 species